UACGGAGGGUGCAAGCGUUGUCCGGAAUCACUGGGCGUAAAGGGCGCGUAGGCGGCUCAUGAAGGCUGUGGUGAAAGUCCGGGGCUCAACCUCGGAUCGGCCGUGGCGACUCGUGGGCUGGAGCACUGUAGAGGCGGGUGGAAUUCCGGGUGUAGCGGUGGAAUGCGUAGAGAUCCGGAAGAACACCAGUGGCGAAGGCGGACCGCUGGGCAGUGGCUGACGCUGAGGCGCGACAGCGUGGGGAGCGAACAGG
rnacentral:rRNA from 1 species